rnacentral:rRNA from 1 species
UACGUAGGGAGCAAGCGUUGUCCGGAAUCAUUGGGCGUAAAGCGCGCGUAGGUGGCCCUGUAAGUCCGUUGUGAAAGUCAAAGGCUCAACCUUUGAAAGCCGAUGGAUACUGCAGGGCUAGAGUACGGAAGAGGCGAGUGGAAUUCCUGGUGUAGCGGUGGAAUGCGCAGAUAUCAGGAGGAACACCAAUAGCGAAGGCAGCUCGCUGGGACGUUACUGACACUGAGGCGCGAAAGCGUGGGGAGCAAACAGG